AUCCCAUGUUGAGGGCAGCUUGCACACAAUUAUUUGAAUCUUUCCCAAUACUCAUGAAGGGUCUCAACAUCUUUUUGUUUUAUUCCAUAUAUCUCCCUUCGAAUGCC